AGUGAACGCUGGCGGUAGGCCUAACACAUGCAAGUCGAACGGCAGCACAGUAAGAGCUUGCUCUUACGGGUGGCGAGUGGCGGACGGGUGAGGAAUACAUCGGAAUCUACUUUUUCGUGGGGGAUAACGUCGGGAAGCUUACGCUAAUACCGCAUACGACCUACGGGUGAAAGCAGGGGAUCUUCGGACCUUGCGCGAUUGAAUGAGCCGAUGUCGGCUUAGCUAGUUGGCGGGGUAAAGGCCCACCAAGGCGACGAUCCGUAGCUGGUCUGAGAGGAUGAUCAGCCACACUGGAACUGAGACACGGUCCAGACUCCUACGGGAGGCAGCAGUGGGGAAUAUUGGACAAUGGGCGCAAGCCUGAUCCAGCCAUACCGCGUGGGUGAAGAAGGCCUUCGGGUUGUAAAGCCCUUUUGUUGGGAAAGAAAAGCAGCAGGUUAAUACCCCGCUGUUCUGACGGUACCCAAAGAAUAAGCACCGGCUAACUUCGUG
rnacentral:rRNA from 1 species